AGUCGAACGGAAGUCGUUAUAAAAAGGAUUGAGGAUUUAUCCGAUUGAGAUUUUAUAACAAUGGCCUUAGUGGCGGACUGGUGAGUAACGCGUGAGCAACCUGCCUACUAGAGGGGAAUAACAGUGAGAAGUCACUGCUAAUACCGCAUAUGCCAUGAACAUCACAUGAUGAAAAUGGGAAAAGAGUAAUCUGCUAGUAGAUGGGCUCGCGUCUGAUUAGAUAGUUGGUGGGGUAACGGCCUACCAAGUCGACGAUCAGUAGCCGGACUGAGAGGUUGAACGGCCACAUUGGGACUGAGAUACGGCCCAGACUCCUACGGGAGGCAGCAGUCGGGAAUAUUGCGCAAUGGAGGAAACUCUGACGCAGUGACGCCGCGUAUAGGAAGAAGGUUUUCGGAUUGUAAACUAUUGUCGUUAGGGAAGAUAAAAGACAGUACCUAAGGAGGAAGCUCCGGCUAACUACGUGCCAGCAGCCGCGGUAAUACGUAGGGAGCAAGCGUUAUCCGGAUUUAUUGGGUGUAAAGGGUGCGUAGACGGGUUAGCAAGUUAGUUGUGAAAGCCCUCGGCUUAACUGAGGAACUGCAACUAAAACUGUUAAUCUUGAGUGUUGGAGAGGAAAGUGGAAUUCCUAGUGUAGCGGUGAAAUGCGUAGAUAUUAGGAGGAACACCGGUGGCGAAGGCGACUUUCUGGACAAUAACUGACGUUGAGGCACGAAAGUGUGGGGAGCAAACAGGAUUAGAUACCCUGGUAGUCC
rnacentral:rRNA from 1 species